rnacentral:lncRNA from 1 species
GAAACUCUAAAUCUCUUAGACGGGGAGUUUAAAUGACCUAUUUAAUGGGGAAUUUUUAUCCCUCGGGCAAAGUUAUAUUGAGUCUGGUUAAUGAGAUUGUAAGUCCCUCAAGCGAGGUGUUUGACCUUUCAGAUGGGACUUCUAUCAAGCCCUCAGACAAGACUAAAAUUAAGUCUCUUAGGCUAGGCUUCAGUUGUGCCUCAUGGGUGGGAUUUAUAUGUUGGGUCACGCCCGAGGAAAC